rnacentral:rRNA from 1 species
CCUACGGGGGGCAGCAGUGAGGAAUAUUGGUCAAUGGGCGAGAGCCUGAACCAGCCAAGUCGCGUGAGGGAGUACUGCCCUAUGGGUUGUAAACCUCUUUUGUCGGGGAGCAAAAGCCGGACGUGUCCGGCUGUGAGAGUACCCGAAGAAAAAGCAUCGGCUAACUCCGUGCCAGCAGACGCGGGAAUACGGAGGAUGCGAGCGUUAUCCGGAUUGAGUGGGUUUAAGGGGUGCGCAGGCGGAUUUUUAAGUCAGCGGUAAAAGCGUGGGGCUCAACCCCAUCCAGCCGUUGAAACUGGGGAUCUAGAGUGUGCGAGAGGUAUGCGGAAUGCGUGGUGUAGCGGUGAAAUGCAUAGAUAUCACGUAAAACCCCGAUUGCGAAGGCAGCAUACCGGUGCACAACUGACGCUCAGGCACGAAAGCGUGGGUAUCGAACAGGAUUAGAUACCCCUGUAGUC